AUUGAACGCUGGCGGAAUGCUUUACACAUGCAAGUCGAACGGCAGCACGGGGCAACCUGGUGGCGAGUGGCGAACGGGUGAGUAAUACAUCGGAACGUGCCCAAUCGUGGGGGAUAACGUAGCGAAAGUUACGCUAAUACCGCAUACGAUCUACGGAUGAAAGCGGGGGAUCGCAAGACCUCGCGCGAGUGGAGCGGCCGAUGUCAGAUUAGGUAGUUGGUGGGGUAAAGGCUCACCAAGCCAACGAUCUGUAGCUGGUCUGAGAGGACGACCAGCCACACUGGAACUGAGACACGGUCCAGACUCCUACGGGAGGCAGCAGUGGGGAAUUUU
rnacentral:rRNA from 1 species